rnacentral:rRNA from 1 species
GCUUACGGCCAUACCAGCCUGAACGCGCCCGAUCUCGU